GAUGAACGCUGGCGGCGUGCCUAAUACAUGCAAGUCGAGCGAACAGACGAGGAGCUUGCUCCUCUGACGUUAGCGGCGGACGGGUGAGUAACACGUGGAUAACCUACCUAUAAGACUGGGAUAACUUCGGGAAACCGGAGCUAAUAUCGGAUAAUAUAUUGAACCGCAUGGUUCAAUAGUGAAAGACGGUUUUGCUGUCACUUAUAGAUGGAUCCGCGCCGCAUUAGCUAGUUGGUAAGGUAACGGCUUACCAAGGCAACGAUGCGUAGCCGACCUGAGAGGGUGGUCGGCCACACUGGAACUGAGACACGGUCCAGACUCCUACGGGAGGCAGCAGUAGGGAAUCUUCCGCAAUGGGCGAAAGCCUGACGGAGCAACGCCGCGUGAGUGAUGAAGGUCUUCGGAUCGUAAAACUCUGUUAUUAGGGAAGAACAAAUGUGUAAGUAACUAUGCACGUCUUGACGGUACCUAAUCAGAAAGCCGCGGCUAACUACGUG
rnacentral:rRNA from 1 species